rnacentral:lncRNA from 1 species
UCCACUAUGCUCCUACAUCAACUAUCAAAACACCCUAGUGGGUGGUUUGAGGUCAGUAUUUCGUGCUCUUAUCUUAACAAUUAAUUUACUUACAUAAAUGCACUACUAAAACAUUAUUCACAUUAAACCAUCAUCUAAUCAUUGUAACAACCCAAAAAAACCAAGCUUGAAAUCACAUUAUCUUUAUGAAAAAUAGCGGAAUCCUUACGGGGUGCUACGGUACUCAUGGCAAUUAUGAAAGUAAGACUAAACAAUCUCGUCAAUAUCCUGGGGUAGUAGAAUCAGUUUUCACCCCCUACGGUCAGAAAUCCUGACUAGCCCACUUCUAAAUCAAGCACGUAGGCUAGGAAAACAUGAGCAUGCUUUAUUUGAAUGCACUACAUAAGUCUACAAAGACAGAACGAGUGAAAAAUCUCAUACCCUACCAACACUAAUAGAGUUACCAAAUACGUUGCCUCUAUGGUUAUUACACAUUAUAGGACAACCUUACACCCUUUAAAUACACACUAUGUCACAUGACUUAUGCAUAUGGUGAAGAUAUGUAAAACACAAAACGAGUUUAAAACCCAUAAAUAAAUGGUGAGGAUCAAGACUUAUUCUUCCUAUUCGACCUAGCAUCAUCGCCAUGGUUGCCCAUCAAUGAAGCCCUCCUUGACAUGAUGAUCAAUUGUAGAAUCUCAGUGUGUACUGGCGCCUUUUACUGUCGGUCUGAGGAAAAAUAAGGGGACAAUGCUAAUCACUGAGUUAGGGUCUUUUACCCGGAGUCAAUCUACAGUGCAAAUAAUCAUAUAACAAAUAACCCAUAAUGUAACACAUAAGGCUUCCUACAACUCCACUAAUUUCUUUCAUAUUAUAAUUGGGAUCUGGGCACACAUAGGUGGAACCUAUCCGGGGCCGUAAACUCAUAGCAUAGGGAAUACCCAUUAUGGGCCAUAUACUCGUAGAAUAAAUUGUACUGGUUAGGGGCCAUAUACAUGUAGCGAAAGUGCAAUAUGCACACACAUAGAUCGCCAUUAUACAUGCCAUAAUCUAGGUGAUCAAGAAUUUACCCAUUUACUUCCUUUAGAAUAAUUAUCUAUGUGAAUACUCAUUAAGUAAGAUAAGGCCACAACAUAUAUCAUGCGAAAGAUGAUAGCAAGACAAAAAAAUGUAUGUCAUUUCAUGUCCACCAUAAGACACAAAUACAAUAACCAAAAUGAAAUAAAUGCAUAGGGCCACACUCCUAGCAUGCAUGUAUAUGGCAGGUAAAACUAGAAAUAGACACGUAAAGGAACGUCUAACCCUGUCGGAUAUAUAGGAGACCCUCACUGAAAAAGUCUAGCAAAAAACCGGUAUGAGUCUUCGGGUCGAAGCCCCUCUCAACUUUUGCAUUCUCUAAUCCCACCAGAAUGCACAAUUCUCACCUCUCAAGCUUAGCUACGUACCAACAGAUGUGUUCAUCUUUCAGUGUAAAACUAAUGAUUUUUUAUAGUCAAGUCUUAUUGUCUUUUUCCUCUUAGCAAUUAAGAGAAAAAAUACGCUUUUCCUAAGAAAACAAGAGAAGGAAAUGCAACACAUUAUGGGGAUGUGGGGGGUUUUGUCGUCUUUUUCUUCCCAUCUACUAAAAAUGUGGUGGAGGAAACUUCACGUUUUUAUAAUUCCACCUACUUAGCCUACCCACCUACACACAUCCAUAUACUUACUGUAUAUUUGACAAGUAGUUUAUUAAAGUAAGCAAGAAUUUUUUGUGUGUGGUUAAGAUGAGAUGUUACAAUCAUAUAAAGCUAACUUUCAUUUUUUUUCUAUUGUGCAACAAUUUCUAAGGUUGUCUAACUUAUACUAGCUUCAUCAAUCUAGGAUUUCAUGACUAUUGGGCAUCCCCUAAACUCAUCUAACUAAACCUACCAUCCAUUUGUCAGACUUACGAUAACACUGUGGGUCUCUCAUCGCCCAGUACUAUCAUGUGGGACUCUAGUGGCCCAAUAGAUAAAAUGGGACUUUAGUGGUCCAAUAGCUAAUAACGGGACUCUAGUGGCCCAAUAGCUACUAAUGGAUCUCUUGUGGUCCGAAAUGUUAACAUUGGAUCUCUAGUGGCCCAAUUGAUAACAGUGAUCUCUAGUGGCCCAAUUAGCUAAGCCUUGGAUCUCUAGUGGUUCAAGGUCGUAUGCCAACAUUCUAGUUAGUGGGUCUAACUAGAGAGGUACAUGUUGCUGCAUCACUCGACUGCUAAAUCAUCCACUAAUGGUUUAGGCUUAGGAUGGUUCUUUCUUGUUAACUAACUCUCUAUUCACAUCAACUUCUAACUAGCUUAAUCAUAAAGGCGUAUAGCAUCAUCACAAUACAAUAAAUGACAUAAACUUAAACGAAUUAAGCUGCAUAAUUAAACAUAACAUAAAACAUGCAAAACCUAACUAUAGCCACGAUAAGAAUUUACCCCCUUAAACCACCCACCUAAUUGAUAAGCCGACAUCUCAGACUCGAAUUUGAAAUGAUUCCCCUUGCUAUCAUGAAUCCACGCUUCCGGUCGAAUCCUCCUUUAACGCUCGUCCACCCCCCGCCUUCGUCGCCCAUACCAAUGUCUCUCUCCGUCGAACAAUAACGAGGCUAAACUGCAAUCUCCCUCUCGAUACAUGCGUCCGAGCUCUCACCUCGAGGAGCCUUCAUCCCUCCCAUUUGAUACCUACGUCAUCUACAACUACUGCUCCUAGUUACAUUUUUCAUGAACGUUUCCAUCCGCGGCGCCGAUGGAUCAUUGGUUGAGAGUCCCCACCAAUCUUUUUGAAUCGGAUUGGACGUUUUCGACAUAACCCAGGUCCUUUUGGAGGUGAGUUAGAUCAUGUCUGCAAAACAGAGAUCUUGGAUUCGGGAGGCGGUUACGUGCGGGGAAGGAUUAGCACCCCCGCAACGCCCGGUAAACCGAUACUACUAACUUCGGUAAGUUAUGUUUUAUUUUCUUUGUUUUAUGGCUUAAUUAUCUUUUAGUUUGUAUAUGGAAGAUUAUGUCUUUUUAGAGAAUAUGCCAUUUAUUAAUUGUAAGUUUUUAUGAAUUCCUACUCUUAUGGAAAUUUCAUUUUAUAUUAAUGAAUAUUUUUCGAUGAAUAUUUUUAUUUAAUAUUUUGGACUCGAGUCUUAUGACUGCCUACGUACCCAAUCCAUUGAGGAUUUCACGUAAUUUUUACUAUUGUAAAAACCACAUUGUCACGCUCGUUUUAUUAUUAUUUAAAAGACAUUUAUUUGAUCAUUUUGAGGUUGGGAGUUUUAGAAAGAAUACCCUCGUGCUUCGGUAUUCCGAAUCCGAAGGUGCUGGCCUGUUGAUCGAGGAAUGAGAAAUACACCUUUUAAUGUACUUACUUACGAACCUCUUGAUUUGUAAUCGGAUUAUUUUUAUUUAUAAAGUUUGGAGGAGUAAAUAUUUAUGAUGAUUUGUAAUUUAUGCUACUUUUGAUUAACUAGUGACUUUGCAAAAUCCGAAACUCUUGUCACGGAUACAAAAAUCGUAUAACAUUGCUAUAAUAUUCUUAUAGGAUUAUUAUUAAGGAACACAAUUGACAAAUUAAUUGGCUUAUAUCAAUUAAUUUGAUUUGCCAUAAUAAAAAAUGAACUAUAAGACGGUAACGAACUUAUAUUUAAAUAAAUAUGUCACAAAUAAUUUUGAUGAUUUGGUAAUUCUAUUAUCGUUAGGUUAACGUCAAUUAAAAUGUAACAUCGAUUAGAAUAAUUUUAAAGUUUCGAGUUCUUAAGUUUAUAACUUAACUCUAACUUAUAAAUAGCAAGUAGGAUUAAAGAAUUUAGGACUUUUAUUUUAUUAUUAAUCUAGACUUCUUUCAGUUUUAUUCUAUUCUUAAUAUGGCUUUAAUGAGACUUGAAUCUUGUUAAUUCCACUAAAGACUUGGCCUUUAGAGUUAAUUGGGCUCUAGCUCGAGCUGGGCCUAAUCGCAAAGAAUGGGCCAAAACGGUGGACGAGCUGGCCGAGCCCACGUGUGCCAACUGGUUUAACUGGUUACCCAUGGUUCGACUAGAUACCUGAAAGGACGAAACUACCCCUGGAGGUCUGCGCUCUGAAGAAGGGAGGCAUGGGAAGUUUCGUAACUUCACCUUCUUUCUCCUUUUUCCUUCUUCUUCCUUUCCUCUCCUUCCUUCUUUUCUUUCUUCCCCAUCUCCUUUCAUCUUCUCCUUCUUCCCCGUCUCCUUAGCGCCGCCUCUCUCCUCUCACCGGCGGUGGCGGCCGGCGCCACCUUCGCGUCCGCCUCCACACUUCUCCCACAACCCUCAUCAACAGAAAAAGAAGAAAAGGUAAAACGCACUCUAGAACCCCUUCUUUACCUUUGUUUUUUUAUUUCGUCCAGAUCCAGACUUGCAUGUCAUCGGAGGAUGCUCCGACGAGUUCUCUGGUGACAUGCAAGCCCCGAUCUAUAGAUCUAGGGUUUGAUUUUGGGUGUUUAACGAGUUUUUUCUGUCUUUUGUUGUUGUCUUGUUUUUUUUAUUUUUUUGUUAUUUGAGGGGAAAACCAGCGGCAAGGAAGAGGAAGACCUGCCGCCGACGACGCGGCCGGCGAUAGUGACGGUGAGGCAGAGAGAAGAGAGAAA